UACGAAGGAUGCAAGCGUUAUCCGGAUUCAUUGGGUUUAAAGGGUGCGUAGGCGGACUUGUAAGUCAGUGGUGAAAUCUCUCAGCUUAACUGAGAAACUGCCAUUGAUACUGCAGGUCUAGAGUACAGAUGAUGUGGGCGGAAUAUGACAUGUAGUGGUGAAAUACUUAGAUAUGUCAUAGAACACCGAUUGCGAAGGCAGCUCACAAAACUGUAACUGACGCUGAGGCACGAAAGUGCGGGGAUCAAACAGG
rnacentral:rRNA from 1 species